rnacentral:lncRNA from 1 species
CACACAAAAGCCAACUUAUCCCAUUAUAUCUCCACCUCUCUGAUAAAAUUUAUUUAUCACAUCUUCUCCUCCAAAGUACUGGACCACCACUGCACCUUUAUUUCUUUUCCACCUUCUUCUACUUCAACAUCACACUACAUAACCCUCUCUCGCUCACCACCAUUUUCGUCGACAGAAACCGUCAUGGACCAACCCCCUGUCUGCACCACAACACAAUGCUAUAACCAAACCAUCACCAACCCACCAUACACGAUCAUCAUUCCAAGCUUGACACAACCGAACACACAUCUUCACCGCCACCUUAUAACCAACGUCCACCCUUUGCCAUCACCUCUAACUAACUCUCAACCUCCAUAAUCCACCAAACACUCUUCAAACCGUGAACACCAUAAGCUUUCAUUCAGAACCACCGCAACAACUCUGACACCACCGCAGUAAGAUUUUCUUAUCCUUGAUCUUAU